rnacentral:rRNA from 1 species
AACGAACUCUGGCGGCAUGCCUAACACAUGCGAGUCGAACGAGACCUUCGGGUCUAGUGGCGCACGGGUGCGUAACGCGUGGGAACCUGCCCUUAGGUUCGGAAUAACUCCCCGAAAGGGGUGCUAAUACCGGAUAAUGUCUUCGGACCAAAGAUUUAUCGCCUUUGGAUGGGCCCGCGUUGGAUUAGCUAGUUGGUAGGGUAAAAGCCUACCAAGGCGACGAUCCAUAGCUGGUCUGAGAGGAUGAUCAGCCACACUGGGACUGAGACACGGCCCAGACUCCUACGGGAGGCAGCAGUGGGGAAUAUUGGACAAUGGGCGAAAGCCUGAUCCAGCAAUGCCGCGUGAGUGAUGAAGGCCUUAGGGUUGUAAAGCUCUUUUACCCGGGAUGAUAAUGACAGUACCGGGAGAAUAAGCUCCGGCUAACUCCGUG